rnacentral:rRNA from 1 species
UGAGGAAUAUUGGUCAAUGGGCGAGAGCCUGAACCAGCCAAGUAGCGUGAAGGAUGACUGCCCUAUGGGUUGUAAACUUCUUUUAUAAAGGAAUAAAGUCGGGUAUGGAUACCCGUUUGCAUGUACUUUAUGAAUAAGGAUCGGCUAACUCCGUGCCAGCAGCCGCGGUAAUACGGAGGAUCCGAGCGUUAUCCGGAUUUAUUGGGUUUAAAGGGAGCGUAGAUGGAUAUUUAAGUCAGUUGUGAAAGUUUGCGGCUCAACCGUAAAAUUGCAGUUGAUACUGGAUAUCUUGAGUGCAGUUGAGGCAGGCGGAAUUCGUGGUGUAGCGGUGAAAUGCUUAGAUAUCACGAAGAACUCCGAUUGCGAAGGCAGCCUGCUAAGCUGCAACUGACAUUGAGGCUCGAAAGUGUGGGUAUCAAACAGGAUUAGAUACCCUGGUAGUCCACACGGUAAACGAUGAAUACUCGCUGUUUGCGAUAUACUGCAAGCGGCCAAGCGAAAGCGUUAAGUAUUCCACCUGGGGAGUACGCCGGCAACGGUGAAACUCAAAGGAAUUGACGGGGGCCCGCACAAGCGGAGGAACAUGUGGUUUAAUUCGAUGAUACGCGAGGAACCUUACCCGGGCUUAAAUUGCAGAUGAAUUACGGUGAAAGCCGUAAGCCGCAAGGCAUCUGUGAAGGUGCUGCAUGGUUGUCGUCAGCUCGUGCCGUGAGGUGUCGGCUUAAGUGCCAUAACGAGCGCAACCCUUGUUGUCAGUUACUAACAGGUUCCGCUGAGGACUCUGACAAGACUGCCAUCGUAAGAUGUGAGGAAGGUGGGGAUGACGUCAAAUCAGCACGGCCCUUACGUCCGGGGCUACACACGUGUUACAAUGGGGGGUACAGAGGGCCGCUACCACGCGAGUGGAUGCCAAUCCCCAAAACCUCUCUCAGUUCGGACUGGAGUCUGCAACCCGACUCCACGAAGCUGGAUUCGCUAGUAAUCGCGCAUCAGCCACGGCGCGGUGAAUACGUUCCC